UUUGAGGAGGUCGGGAAUGGAAGCAUAAUCCAUUCAUUGAAUAAACCCACGAUUAUGUUUUAUCUAAUCUCUCACGCCUCUUACUCACCCAAAAAAAUCUCUCACGCCUCACUCUUCUGUGUCUCUUCUCUGUCACGCCUCACCCCUCUGCCCUCCUCUCUGUUACUAGAGCACCACCGCGGUUAGACGAGCACACCGCAAGGGUUACAGAAGCACCACCGUCGCUUUGUCUCGGGUAGUUUCCGUAUGUUCAGCGAUGAAGAUGUUACGAUUGGUGCAUGGAUGCUUGCAAUGAAUGUCAACCAUGAGGACAAUCGAUAACUUUGUGAACCAGAAUGUACUCCAUCAUCUAUUGCUGUUUGGGAUAUUCCAAAGUGUUCAGUGGUGGUUGGGAAGUGGUUGUAGUGUGGUAGUUUUGAACUUGGGGGCUGUGAUGCUGUGGCAAUGAUGGCUGUUGAGAUGGUGACGGUAUUAGUACCGGGAUCUGGGAGUGGAUUCAAUAAUAUUAGUUGUUAAUUGAAUCCAACUGCUUUUGAAUUUGGUUUCAUGGGAUUGAACCCCAGGUCACCCCUAGUCCCAAGUGCA